rnacentral:rRNA from 1 species
CCUACGGGGGGCAGCAGUGAGGAAUAUUGGUCAAUGGACGAGAGUCUGAACCAGCCAAGUAGCGUGAAGGAUGACUGCCCUAUGGGUUGUAAACUUCUUUUAUAUGGGAAUAAAACGUUCCACGUGUGGGAUUUUGUAUGUACCAUAUGAAUAAGGAUCGGCUAACUCCGUGCCAGCAGCCGCGGUAAUACGGAGGAUCCGAGCGUUAUCCGGAUUUAUUGGGUUUAAAGGGAGCGUAGGUGGAUUGUUAAGUCAGUUGUGAAAGUUUGGGGGUCAACCGUAAAAUUGCAGUUGAAACUGGCAGUCUUGAGUACAGGAGAGGUGGGCGGAAUUCGUGGUGUAGCGGUGAAAUGCUUAGAUAUCACGAAGAACUCCGAUUGCGAAGGCAGUUCACUGGACUGCAACUGACACUGAGGCUCGAAAGUGUGGGUAUCAAACAGGAUUAGAUACCCGUGUAGUC